rnacentral:rRNA from 1 species
ACGGGAGGCAGCAGUGAGGAAUAUUGGUCAAUGGACGGAAGUCUGAACCAGCCAAGUCGCGUGAAGGAUGAAGGUAUUAUGUAUUGUAAACUUCUUUAGCAGUGGAGUAAUAAGGGGAUCGCGAUCCCUGAUGCAAGUACACUGAGAAUAAGGAUCGGCUAACUCCGUGCCAGCAGCCGCGGUAAUACGGAGGAUCCGAGCGUUAUCCGGAUUUAUUGGGUUUAAAGGGAGCGUAGGCGGGAUGUCAAGUCAGCUGUGAAAUGUAGUCGCUCAACGUCUGCACUGCAGUUGAAACUGGUGUUCUUGAGUGCGUAAGAGGCAGGUGGAAUUCGUCGUGUAGCGGUGAAAUGCAUAGAUAUGACGAAGAACUCCGAUUGCGAAGGCAGCCUGCUGGGCCGCUACUGACGCUGAAGCUCGAAGGUGCGGGUAUCAAACAGGAUUAGAUACCCUGGUA